GUGCUCGCUACAGCUGCACAUAAACUAAAAUUGGAACAGUAUAGGGAAGAUGAACACGGCCCCCUUUGCAAGGAUGACAUGCAGCUUCCGGAAGUGUGCCAUGUCUUU